GCUCAGGUUGCCUGAGGAAGGCACAAUUUUGAUAGGUGCUAACAUGGGAAUAAGAAAUCAUAGACCAACCUGCAUGAUCAGGUGCAGAUGCUGACUCUAAGCUCCUGUGCUCAAGAUGUGAGGUGGCUUGAGGCUGGAAUAUAGAUGGUUCUGAGCUUUGCAUUAGGCCAGGAAUAGGUGAUACGAUGACAGCACUGACUGUGUAUCCUCUGAAAGAGAUCUUGUUUCCUAGUGCUGGCUCACAGCAAGGUGCAGAGGCUUAAUUCAGAGAAUCACAGAAUGGCCAGGGUUGGAAGAGACCUUAAGGAUCAUCCAUUUCCAGCCUCCCUGCUGUGGGCUGGUUGGUUGCAGUUGGUAAAUUUCAUUUGCCAGAGGUUUGAAACCUGACUCAGAAUGGCUUUUUUCCAUUGAUAUCACUACUAACCCCUACCCUUGAGGACCUCGAGGACAGACUUGAGCUUGCCUCAGAAGGGCUCUGUGGGGGAACUUGAAGUCUCAGUGUUAUAAUUUCUUCACCAUUGCCCUAAACUCCACAAAGAACUUCAGAAAAUGUAUUUUAUUUUAUUUUAUUUUAUUUUAUUUUAUUUUAUUUUAUUUUAUUUUAUUUUAUUUUAUUUUAAUUUUAUUUUUGUCUUGCAGAUCAGUGCUCUAUGCUCCCAUUAGAACCAAACUGGGAAGCUUUCAUCACCAAAUGACACCUACCCAACUCCACCGUCUUCCCACGACAGUUGAGGGCAGUGGCCAAGUGCAAGGAAAUUCCAGGACUGCUCGGAGGCGUAUCUCAGAGAGCUCAUGUUUUAACAGGCUGCCCUUGAGAUAAUGACUCCAGGAAGCACAACUGGUGUCCUGGAAAGGCUUCUCCACUCCAAAACCUGCUUGCAGUCCUACUGUGGAUCCCACUGUGAAGGCAUUGCAACAUUGGUGUUGCUUUAUCCCACUGAAAUUCAGAGAAGCUGUGGGUGCCCCAUCCCUGGAGGUAUUCAAGGCCAGGUGGGAUGGGGCCCUGGGCAGCCUAAUCUAGUGACUGAUUUAGUAGUUGGCAUCCCUGUCAAAUGGCAGGGGGUUGGAACUAGAUGAUCUUUGAGGUCCCUUCCAAUCCAAGCCAUUCCAUGAUCCUGUGAAGUCAUUGUUAUGUUCAUGCAGCCUCCAGAGCAGGGAAGAGUGGGCCUUGGGGACAAAAUAAGGACUCUUCUUGCUUAGGGAUGCUGAAAACUGGGAUGAAUGCUGAAGGAGAGAGUAGAGCGGAGCCCUGUAUGCAGACUGUUCCAAAGUCAGACCCUAUAACUUGCUAUGGGAUGCUACAGAAACCCCUGUGAUUAGUGGCCAGGGGACAGGAGUGCAAGAGGUGGGGUGGAACAUUGCUUCUGCUUGCUCCAUCAGACAAACUCCCAUUGGAAUGUAAAUGUUUGGAAAGUCUCAGCAGCUGAGCAUCUUCUCAGGACAUCUCAGUAUCUCGAAACCUCUGUGUUAUUUGAGCCUGGGCUAUUUUUGAACCAGUUGGGCUGUCUGAGUUAAUUCCAAGCUUGCACAAGCAGCUGUCGUGGGAAAACAGAGAGGUUGAGAUGAAAGACCCGAGGCUGUGGCUGCCUCAUUGCUGCUGCUGCUGGGAACAGCUCUGUGCCAUCGCAGCCUCUUCAGCUCCCACCACUCCCAGCCCUUCCACAAACCUCCAGACAAAGCUCCUUUAUUGCAAGGCCAGAGCAGGGAGGGGAAACACAGGGCCGUGAAAGCUGCAGCUAUAUUAAGCCAUGGAAAACCACAAGAAUAAGUGCCUGUAAUCCCAGCCACACUGAACCUGUCUGCUGACUUCCUCUCCAAACCCAAUCUCAAACCUGACCCAGGUGGGAAAAUGCCUGUGGUUGUGACCAUCCCCCUCUGAAAACACAAAGCCAGGCAUUUAUCUGAGCGGUUGAUUGCAAAGCUCUGCACUGCAAUUUGCUCCGCUCUGCAAAAUAACAAAGCCAAGACGCUGCAGGUAACAGCCAGGCCAAGAAGUCUGCGAGUUUCAUUCCCUACAAGUGAGUUUUGGCACAGUAGCUACUUCACACCCAAUUAAUUACUUCAGCACCAGAUUAUACUUGCAGGCUCCAAUAGGAGUGAUAAUAGGAACCAAUUAAAUUAAUUUAUAUUUACUUUGUAAGCAUAUUUUCCUUUGGUAAAUCUUUGCUUUAAUUUGACAGAUUGGACUCCAGUAUUUUGUUUUUGUUACGAGAUAUGGUCCUAAAUCCAGGGGAACAAAUCCAAACCUGUAAAGCCAAGAAGUCUUUCCCUUUCAGGUUUAAAAACAUGUAGGACAGGGAUUUAAAAAAAAAAAAAAAAAAAAAAAAAAGAAGUAAUAAAAUGUAUGCACGUGCCCA
rnacentral:lncRNA from 1 species